rnacentral:ncRNA from 22 species
AACUUAUCAAGAGAAGUGGAGGGACUGGCCCAAAGAAGCUUCGGCAACAUUGUAUCAUGUGCCAAUUCCAGUAACCGAGAAGGUUAGAAGAUAAGGU